CCCUUAGAUGUUCUGGGCCGCACGCGCGCUACACUGAUGCAUUCAACGAGCCUAUCCUUGACCGACAGGUCCGGGUAAUCUUUGAAUCUGCAUCGUGACGGGGAUAGAUUAUUGCAAUUAUUAAUCUUCAACGAGGAAUGCCUAGUAGGCGCAAGUCAUCAGCUUGCGUCGAUUACGUCCCUGCCCUUUGUACACACCGCCCGUCGCUCCUACCGAUUGAGUGAGCCGAUGAAACUGCCGGAUGUGGACUAUUCAUAGUCUGCAGAAGAUAUUUGAAUCGUAGCGCUUAGAGGAAGGAGAAGUCGUAACA
rnacentral:rRNA from 1 species